AUUGAACGCUGGCGGCAGGCUUAACACAUGCAAGUCGAGCGGGGGAAGGUAGCUUGCUACCGGACCUAGCGGCGGACGGGUGAGUAAUGCUUAGGAAUCUGCCUAUUAGUGGGGGACAACAUCUCGAAAGGGAUGCUAAUACCGCAUACGUCCUACGGGAGAAAGCAGGGGAUCUUCGGACCUUGCGCUAAUAUAUGAGCCUAAGUCGGAUCAGCUAGUUGGUGGGGUAAAGGCCUACCAAGGCGACGAUCUGUAGCGGGUCUGAGAGGAUGAUCCGCCACACUGGGACUGAGACACGGCCCAGACUCCUACGGGAGGCAGCAGUGGGGAAUAUUGGACAAUGGGGGGAACCCUGAUCCAGCCAUGCCGCGUGUGUGAAGAAGGCCUUAUGGUUGUAAAGCACUUUAAGCGAGGAGGAGGCUACUUUAGUUAAUACCUAGAGAUAGUGGACGUUACUCGCAGAAUAAGCACCGGCUAACUCUGUGCCAGCCGCCGCAGUAA
rnacentral:rRNA from 1 species